AUUGAACGCUGGCGGCAUGCCUUACACAUGCAAGUCGAACGGCAGCACGGGGGCAACCCUGGUGGCGAGUGGCGAACGGGUGAGUAAUACAUCGGAACGUGCCCCGUAGCGGGGGAUAACCAGUCGAAAGACUGGCUAAUACCGCAUACGCUCCACGGAGGAAAGCAGGGGACCCGCAAGGGCCUUGCACUAUGGGAGCGGCCGAUGCCCGAUUAGCUAGUUGGUGAGGUAAAGGCUCACCAAGGCUACGAUCGGUAGCUGGUCUGAGAGGACGACCAGCCACACGGGGACUGAGACACGGCCCAGACUCCUACGGGAGGCAGCAGUGGGGAAUUUUGGACAAUGGGCGCAAGCCUGAUCCAGCCAUGCCGCGUGCGGGAAGAAGGCCUUCGGGUUGUAAACCGCUUUUGGCAGGAACGAAACGGCGCGAGCUAAUACCUCGCGCUAAUGACGGUACCUGCAGAAUAAGCACCGGCUAACUACGUGCCAGCAGCCGCCGUAACAC
rnacentral:rRNA from 1 species